CAAAAUAUCAUUCCUAGCUCAACUGGUGCAGCAAAGGCUGUUGGUAAAGUUCUUCCAGAGCUCAAUGGAAAGCUUACUGGGAUGGCCUUCCGAGUUCCAACACCAAAUGUAUCUGUUGUUGAUCUGACUGUCAGACUUGAGAAAAGCGCUUCAUAUGAUGAUGUCAAAUCGGCAAUUAAGUUUGCUUCUGAAGGUCCGCUAAGAGGCAUUCUUGGAUACACAGACGAGGAUG
rnacentral:misc_RNA from 1 species